rnacentral:rRNA from 1 species
CUCAAAGAUUAAGCCAUGCAAGUGGUUAUAUUAACCCGACAGUUUAAAUAAGUGUUAAAUGCUACCAUUAAACUUAUGCAAUAUCACGCACACACACACACACAUAUGAUUUUGUUUACAGUAGUAACAAUUUCAGCGUGAAUCACACCAUCACACAGUGAAUCACUGAAAUUUACCCAAUAUCAGUAUCACUUACGCAACUGCAGACAGCUGCUUAAUACAGUCACACUUGUCUUGACUUGGCGUAAUAAAAAUAUUUCAUUCAAUACACUGCUUAAACGCAGUGCAGAGGGUGAAUUUUUUUAUUUUGUUGCAUCACACGCACAAAAUUUUUUGAUUUCUCUGUAUCGCUUAUUCUCAAGGACAUGCGUUACACCGUGACAAUUUUCUUUAUGGAUAACUCAGGGAAAGUUUGGCUAAUACGUACGAGUAAUAUACCUCACACACACACACACAAUUCAAAAUUUUUUGUUUUGCGCCGUGUAUCGACAACACACACACACACACACAAUCACUACUCAGCACUCAGUGGUACACUUUGAGUGCGUUCGCGCAUUCAGUUUAAAGUUUAACUGCAACAUGAGAGACAUUGAGCACGCACGUGUCGUACCUUCGGGUACUUCACAUCACGCUGAGCAGACUUUGCGAAGUAUACUGUGCGAAGCAUGUCAUACAAGCAUCUACAGCAUCAAGUCACAGGGUUGGCAAGUGUAUUUUUGAACCUUCAAAGCAGUCACGCAUACGGAAGAGUAGUUUCUGAUCCCAUAGAAGGAGCACCGUACAAUGAGAGACCGCUCUUAGUUCUAAGGAACGCAGCAGGCGCGUACAUUGCCCAAUGCUAGUACCCUACAAUCAAAUUGUAUUUACAUGCGUUAACAAUUUACAACAUUACAACAAAGUUUAUUACACACAUAUAACACUAUAUUUUUUCUGUUACCCAACAGAAUUUAUUUAUUCUAAACAUCCUUGUUCGUUGUUUAUUCAGCACGAUGAUAUUAAUUUAUUAUUUUACUGAGGCAGUGACAAGCUGUAACGGUUGAGUAUAAAAAUGACGAGUGUCUGGCAUUGCCGCUCUUUCGGGAGCUUGGCAAGUUGCCGACGCUUUGUGUGCUCAAUUGGAAUGCGGUGAGUUUAAGCAACUCAGAACCUUUGAACGGUGUUAGUAAAAUUUCACUGUUUAUGUAUCUGAAUUUCAAGUGGAGGGCAAGUCUGGUGCCAGCAGCCGCGGUAAUACCAGCUCCACUGGCCUAUACAAUCAUUGUUGC